AGUGAACGCUGGCGGUAGGCCUAACACAUGCAAGUCGAACGGCAGCACAGUAAGAGCUUGCUCUUACGGGUGGCGAGUGGCGGACGGGUGAGGAAUACAUCGGAAUCUACUUUUUCGUGGGGGAUAACGUAGGGAAACUUACGCUAAUACCGCAUACGACCUACGGGUGAAAGCAGGGGAUAUUCGGACCUUGCGCGAUUGAAUGAGCCGCUGUCGGAUUAGCUAGUUGGCGGGGUAAAGGCCAACCAAGGCGACGAUCCGUAGCUGGUCUGAGAGGAUGGUCGGCGACACUGGAACUGAGACACGGUCCAGACUCCUACGGGAGGCAGCAGUGGGGAAUAUGGGACAAUGGUCGCAAGCCUGAUCCAGCCAUACCGCGUGGGUGAAGAAGGCCUUCGGUUUGUAAAGCCCUUUUGUUGGGAAAGAAAAGCAGCAGGUUAAUACCCCGCUGUUCUGACGGUACCCAAAGAAUAAGCACCGGCUAACUUCGUG
rnacentral:rRNA from 1 species